CCCCCUCCCCUCAGCUUCCUUCCUUGCGGUUUGCAGUUUGCCUUCGAAGCACACAGACACAAACCCCUCUGCUCUCACAUCAGCUCACCCCAGCGAUGGUCCAGGGCUGCAAUAGGUGGAAGUGAUUGACUCACUAUGAGACUGCUGUUUUUGCCUCUGACUUGGGAUGGAGACGGAGCUGGAGGAGCAGUGGCUCUGUGGCAGGCAGGCGCUUGGAGCUUGUCACUUACCUCUCACUGCAUCCAGCCGUGCCCCCCCGCCCCGGCCGUGGGGCUGCAGGUCCUGGAGAGUUAGCUGGCGGGGGACCCCAGAUCCACUCGGGUUUCUUCCAGGACCGACGUUCGGCUGCUGCUUCUUAGGCACAGACCCAACCCCUCCAUUCCAACCACUGUUGGGGGG